rnacentral:rRNA from 1 species
GACGAACGCNGGCGGCGUGCCUAAUACAUGCAAGUAGAACGCUGAAGGAGGAGCUUGCUUCUCUGGAUGAGUUGCGAACGGGUGAGUAACGCGUAGGUAACCUGCCUGGUAGCGGGGGAUAACUAUUGGAAACGAUAGCUAAUACCGCAUAAUAUUGACUAUUGCAUGAUAGUCAAUUAAAAGGUGCAAUUGCAUCACUACCAGAUGGACCUGCGUUGUAUUAGCUAGUUGGUGGGGUAACGGCUCACCAAGGCGACGAUACAUAGCCGACCUGAGAGGGUGAUCGGCCACACUGGGACUGAGACACGGCCCAGACUCCUACGGGAGGCAGCAGUAGGGAAUCUUCGGCAAUGGACGGAAGUCUGACCGAGCAACGCCGCGUGAGUGAAGAAGGUUUUCGGAUCGUAAAGCUCUGUUGUAAGAGAAGAACGAGUGUGAGAGNGGAAAGUUCACACUGNGACGG